CAAUAGCAGUCUGCAACAUCUGUCACCCCAUUGAUUGCCAGGGUUGAUUCGGCUGAUCUGGCUGGCUAGGCGGGUGUCCCCUUCCUCCCUCACCGCUCCAUGUGCAUCCCUCCUGAAGCUGCGCACUCGGUCGAAGGGGAUGACCUUCCCGCUAGAGGAGGACCGAUCUUGGGUCAAGGGUAUACGAGUAGCUGUGUUCCCCUGCUAGAACCUGCAAACAAGCUCUCAAGAAGAACUCUUAAAACAUAAGUCAGACCAUGAAACUCCUCUGUUCAGGGCCCUCCAUUGCCUUCUUUU
rnacentral:snRNA from 1 species